AGUGAACGCUGGCGGUAGGCCUAACACAUGCAAGUCGAACGGCAGCACAGUAAGAGCUUGCUCUUACGGGUGGCGAGUGGCGGACGGGUGAGGAAUACAUCGGAAUCUACUUUUUCGUGGGGGAUAACGUAGGGAAACUUACGCUAAUACCGCAUACGACCUACGGGUGAAAGCAUGGGAUCUUCGGACCUUGCGCGAUUGAAUGAGCCGAUGUCGGAUUAGCUAGUUGGCGGGGUAAAAGCCCACCAAGGCGACGAUCCGUAGCUGGUCUGAGAGGAUGAUCAGCCACACUGGAACUGAGACACGGUCCAGACUCCUACGGGAGGCAGCAGUGGGGAAUAUUGGACAAUGGGCGCAAGCCUGAUCCAGCCAUACCGCGUGGGUGAAGAAGGCCUUCGGGUUGUAAAGCCCUUUUGUUGGGAAAGAAAAGCAGCAGGUUAAUACCCCGCUGUUCUGACGGUACCCAAAGAAUAAGCACCGGCUAACUUCGUG
rnacentral:rRNA from 1 species